UUGCUUCAGCAGCAUGUAUACUAAAAUUGGAAUGAUACAGAGAAGGUUAACAUGGACCCCAUGCAAGCAAAAUUUGUGAAGUAUUCCAUAUUUCU
rnacentral:snRNA from 1 species